UCUAAUAUGGCAGAUUAGUGCACUGGAUUUAAACCCCAAACAUAAGAUUUAUCUUUUUUAGAA
rnacentral:tRNA from 1 species